GACGAACCGUGCGAACGUUGUUCGGAAUCACUGGGCUUAAAGGGCGCGUAGGCGGCUCGCGAGGUCGGGGGUGAAAUCCCGCAGCUUAACUGCGGAAGAGCCUUCGAUACCGGCGGGCUAGAGGAAGGUAGGGGUGCGCGGAACUUCUGGUGGAGCGGUGAAAUGCGUAGAGAUCGGAAAGAACACCAACGGCGAAAGCACUCUGCUGGGCCGACACUGACACUGAGAGACGAAAGCUAGGGGAGCGAAUGGG
rnacentral:rRNA from 1 species